rnacentral:rRNA from 1 species
AAGAGUGCGUAAUAGCUCACUGGUCGAGUGAUCCUGCGCCGAAAAUUUCCGGGGCUAAAACGUACUACCGAAGCUACGGCAUCAUUUAUGAUGGGUAGGGGAGCUUCGUAUGCAGGCUGAAGCAUGACCGUAAGGACAUGUGGACAGUAUACGAGUGAGAAUGUUGGCAUGAGUAGCGAGACGUGGGUGAGAAUCCCACGGGCCGUAAACCCAAGGUUUCCAGGGGAAGGUUCGUCCGCCCUGGGUUAGUCGGGACCUAAGCCGAGGCCGAAAGGCGUAGGUGAUGGACAACAGGUUGAUAUUCCUGUACCGCCAAUAAGCGUUUGAGAGAUGGAGUGACACAGUAGGAUAAGCUAACCGUACUGUUGGUUAUGUACGGCUAAGCAUUGAGGCAGUCUAAAUAGGCAAAUCCGUUUAGACAAUGCUAGGAUGUGAUGGGGAAGCCCUUCGGGGCGAAGUAGCUGAUUUCACACUGUCAAGAAAAGCUUCUAUCGAGUUUAAAGGCGCCCGUACCGUAAACCGACACAGGUGGGUGAGGAGAGUAUCCUAAGGCCAGCGAGAGAACUAUUGUUAAGGAACUCGGCAAAAUGACCCCGUAACUUAGGGAGAAGGGGUGCCUGUCUAUGACAGGCCGCAGAGAAUAGGCCCAAGCGACUGUUUACCAAAAACACAGGUUUCUGCUAAGUCGCAAGACGAUGCAUAGGAGCUGACGCCUGCCCGGUGCUGGAAGGUUAAGGGGAUCUGUUAGAGCAAUCGAAGCAGUGAACUUAAGCCCCAGUAAACGGCGGCCGUAACUAUAACGGUCCUAAGGUAGCGAAAUUCCUUGUCGGGUAAGUUCCGACCCGCACGAAAGGCGUAACGAUUUGGGCACUGUCUCAACAAUAGACUCGGUGAAAUUGUAAUCCCGGUGAAGAUGCCGGGUACCUGCGACAGGACGGAAAGACCCCAUGGGGCUUUACUGUAGCUUGACGUUGGGUCUUGGUACUACAUGUACAGGAUAGGUGGGAGACUAUGAAGCAUGGACGCCAGUCUGUGUGGAGUCAUCCUUGGGAUACCACCCUUGUAGUACUGGGAUCCUAACCAUAGGCCUUGAAUCAGGUCUUGGAACACCGUCAGGUGGGCAGUUUGACUGGGGCGGUCGCCUCCUAAAAAGUAACGGAGGCGCUCAAAGGUUUCCUCAGCACGGUCGGAAAUCGUGCGAAGAGUGUAAAGGUAAAAGGAAGCUUGAUUGCAAGACAUACAGGUCGAGCAAGGACGAAAGUCGGACUUAGUGAUCCGGUGGUACCGCAUGGAAGGGCCAUCGCUCAACGGAUAAAAGCUACCCUGGGGAUAACAGGCUUAUCUCCCCCAAGAGUCCACAUCGACGGGGAGGUUUGGCACCUCGAUGUCGGCUCACCACAUCCUGGGGCUGUAGUAGGUCCCAAGGGUUGGGCUGUUCGCCCAUUAAAGUGGUACGCGAGCUGGGUUCAGAACGUCGUGAGACAGUUCGGUCCCUAUCCGUCGCAGGCGUAGGAAAUUUGAGAAGACCUGUCCUUAGUACGAGAGGACCGGGAUGGACGUACCUCUGGUGUACCAGUUGUUCUGCCAAGGGCAGGGCUGGGUAGCUAUGUACGGAAUGGAUAAGCGCUGAAAGCAUCUAAGCGCGAAGCCAACUUCAAGAUAAGAUUUCCCACCGUAAGGGUAAGACCCCAGGAAGACUACCUGGUUGAUAGGUCGAAGGUGUAAGUGCAGUAAUGUAUUUAGCUUAUCGAUACUAAUAGGUCGAGGACUUGAUC